AUGAAAGAUGCAUAUUUGGAUUAGAUUGCUAUUUAUUCAUAUAUUUAUUUAAGUAAUUGGUGAGACACGAACAAAAAAAUGCAGAGUUGAAAGAUUGGCUUGGAUUGAAAUGAUAAGAAAUGUGUGAGGUAUUUUGGCUUCUGAUCAAUAUUUGUAUUCAGUCUGAAAUCUAAAGUAUGUAUAAUAAAAGGAAAAUAGGUAAGAGUAAUAUCCAACUGUAAUUUCUUCCCAUUUUAUAGUCCAAAUUUUAAAAUAGGAAGGACAUUCAAGAAAAUAGUGCUAUGCAACCUUGAUUACUCUCUACUAAAAUGAUUCAAUAGAACUUGAAUAAAACUGUCUUGCCUAGGAACUGAGGCACAUUGGAUAAGUGUCUCAAAUUUUUUUAAAUAAAGGACUGGGGAUGUAAGUCAGUGGUAAAGUACUUCUGGGUUCAAUUCCCAGUACCCCCUCCAAGUCCUUUUAGAUCAUGGUCAACACCCCUCCUGGAACCAGCUCAUUCUAGCAUUGCCAGGAGCCCUGUAUUUCCCAUCUAACCAACAAAGGCUCCAUUUAGCUCUUAACACAGCUUGGUUUGGAGUCCAGUGAAUCUACAGCCAUUAUUAGCAUGGUGGGUAGUUUCCAGAUGAUCUUUGGAAAGAAGCUGCCAGAAGUUUAGGUGGUUCCUAAACUCAUUCACAGAGCAACUCAUUGAAUUAACGUAGUUCAUGACUCUUCAAUAACUUUUGCUUCACCUUUACUGUUUUGUAAUUGUUAUUAGUAAUGUGACUAUCACUUGGACAUUGCUUUUCAGUUUAUAAAUGUUUUUCACAUAUUUUCUUAAUUCAUAGGACAAUGUAUUGUGGACCUUGCUCUUUUGUAUUUUAUUUUAUUUUUUGGUACUCGGGGUUGAACCCAGGAGCACUCAACCACUGAAUUAUAUCCCCAGCCCUUUUUUAUAUUUUUUUGAGACAGGGUCUCACUGAGUUGCUUAGGACCUCACUAAGUUGCUAAGGCUGGCUUUGAACUCGAUGAUCCUCUUGCCUCAGCCUCCCAAGCUACUGGGAUUACAGGAGUGAGCCAUAGCUCCCGGCCUCUUUUGUAUUUUAGUGGGGUUGAAAUUCAUUUGGUUUAAUAAAGACUAGGUUUUGUAAAGAAUGGAAAUCCCUGAUAUUGAGAGGAAGUAGACUACAAGUAAAAUUCACCUUCCCUCAGCCUCCAGAGAAAAUGAAAAUUGAACUUUCUCAUAAACAAAGAAUCUUGCAUCUUAAGUCCUAGCAUUUACUGGACAUAUUACAUAACACUUUGGCCUCUAAUUUCCUCAUUCUUUGUAGGGAAAAGGGACUUAAGAAUGUGAAGACAGAUGUUGAUUGAGCCCAAAUACAUUCUAGUAAUGUGAAACACUAGGAAUAAAGAUAGCAGUGAAUUUAAUCAUUAUGUCUUUUUUUUUUGGCCUCAGUUUUUUAAUUACCCUUCUCUAAAGGAUCACCCAAAUAUACAUAGAACUUGAAUGGGACUUAUUAACAUACUUACCACAGUGAUAGACCUUUCGUUUUCGAGAUAAUACUCCGAGAAAGAAACUUGACCGACCCAAAUAGUAAAAAUUUUCGUUACAAGUACCUAGAACAGUAUUUGGCAGAGCCUGAGCCAAUCACAGCCAUAACUCUACCUUUUCUGCAUGAUAUCUCAACAAGAAUUGCUGGUUUGCUAUUUUCUUAGGAUUCUAGUUUUGAAAUUAUCUCUUAAAAAAAGAUAAUUUUCAGGCUGGGGAUACAGCUCAGUUGGUAGAAUGCUUGCCUUGCAUGCACACUGCCCUGGGUUUGAUCCCCAGCACCACCAAAAAUAAUAAUAAUUUUCCUUCCUCUACCUAUAAUAUAUAAACAGUUCCC
rnacentral:lncRNA from 1 species